CGCGCCCGCCCCGCGCGCCGCCCCCCGCCGCCGCGCGCCGCCCCGCGCACCCCCAGCCCCGCUCCGGGGAGCAACCGGGGAGCGGGCGGGGGGGGAUCUGCUGCGGACCAUUGACUUCACGCCUUCUGGCAGCUUGGGGAGGGGGAGAAGAGCCCAGCCGGGCCCCGCUGUCGGCGAGACGGUGCUGCGCUGUUCUCUGCUCUGCCUCUCUUUCCAGAGCCCAUACGGAAUGUCUCCUUUUAGUACGGAGAAAGUCCGCCUGGCUAAAAUUGGAGCUGAACCUGAGACCCUCAGAGUUCCCAGCAGUAGCCUUCAUCCCACCAGGAUGCCCAUUGCUGCGCCGCUGUGUUUCCCACGGGACGUCUCUGAGUCAGCAGCUGUCAGGAACUGCACAGCACGCUGGACGAUGAAGCACAGGCUGCAAAUAAGUGUUCUCCAUAACAAGGAAUUCCAGGCUACAUUUCUCCUAGUUGCCAAAUAAAAAAAAAGGACACGCAUGGAUUAUUGAACUUCAUUAUUUUAUUCAAAUAAAUAGGCUUUGAAGGAAGAAAAAAAAGCUAUUAAGCUUUGCACAGCAAAACUGUUCCUAUACAUGGUUAUAAACAGGUAACCAGCUAGCCUAUAAUAAAGCAAACUGUCAAUCAAUUUAGGCACAGAUUUUUCACGAUAGAUGUACUAACCACGGUUAAGCUCUGAGCUAUCCCAAGCGACGCCGAAGAACAACAUCCUCCUAUCAGUCUGGCUCCUCAAAAAAAUCGGGUCGGCCAAGGCUUCUGCCAGGAAGGGGAUGCUUCGGUGCUGCUGCACCCUCCUACAAACGUGUGACUCUCCUCAUGGGACCGGGACACCCUUGGCCUGGAGGUGACCGUCCCCAUGGCUUAGCCAGAGUGACUCAAGCCAAGCCUGGUCAGCCCUGGGGGGUGGAAUAAGGGCAGAGGUGGGUGGAAGGUUCUCUGCGCAUGACUGGAAUUUGAAACAGCAGCUUGGGCAUUGCUGCAAUCAUGUUUUAAGGUGUUCGAGAUGCACAGGCAGGUGACUGAAUCUGUCCUUUUUGAAGCCAAACUUUUUAUUUAAAAAGUUGGUAACUAUAGCUGAAAUUAUGACAACCUAAUUCAAUAAAUUUAAAUCAUUAUUGACUAUUACUCCUAGAGCAAUUCUAAUUAUGGGAAAAGUUGUAAGCAGGCCGUGUUUGCUGCUGAAGUUUUAAGCGAAGUCAAACUGCUGAAAUGGAUGAAGUCACAGAACAGAAGAAACCAUCAGAAACCAAAGCUGUCCUGAACCACGAACCUCGCCAUAGCCAGCAGGCAGCCCUCCCAUGAAUGCAGAGAAAUAUUUAGUUUCAGCUCAUUCAGAUAAUUGCAUUCCAUACACACUGUUAAUUCACAUUUAAAGUAAUUGGCAUGUAAAACAUGUUCCUCUACUUUACGUGGAAGAAGUAGCAUCAGGUGGGAAGAUCUGUUAGUGCUGAAAUCACGACAGAUUAGAACCUACCAGGAAUGAUCAGGAAUACUUUGUUUCAUUACCAGGUUUAAUCAAAACAUAUUUUAGCCAACUUAUUUCUCCAGCAUCUUAAAGAUAUUGCCAACUCAUUAAAAGAAUUCCAAAUAACUGUUUUUUCCCUGGAAGCAAUUUGAAUUCCAAUUUCCACCUAAAUAAAACUUGUUGCAAAUCAUGAACGAAUUAACAACCAUCUAAUACAAAUGGAUAGACAACUUUUACUAUUUUGUAAUAUACGAAAUGUAAAAUUUUACGAGCCCAAAUCAAAGUGUCAGGCUGGCGAUGGCUUUAAAACACACUCAUGUAUUUAGAAAAAGGGAAAAAAAGCAGCAGCCACCCUUUCCAACCCUACGAGUUGCUUACUGAAGUCUCCCCAUGGUUGACCUUCACGAAGAGCAUGUGAGAGAGGAGGGGAAGGUGGAGAUCCCAGAGAGUUGCUCGGGACACGGGGCAGGGAGGGGACAGGCUGGUCACACACAUGUAGGGACUGUCCUUACGGCCACGAGCAGGCUGUGCGCCGCCACGUUACUCACCAGCCCUGUGGAUGGACAGAUGGUGUAGUCGGGGUGUGGGAUGUCCAGGUGAACAUCUCAACAUCAGCAGGUUGGCCACCAUUGAUACAAUCGUCUCCGGGAAGGCACAAAGGAUAGCCAAACGUGGUUUAAAAGCUGUAUGGAAUUGUGUGAAAAAACAUGUUUCAUUACCACCAGAGAGGGGAAGAAACCUUUUAGGAUGGGACUGCAGGGAAAGGUGACCUGGGGUACAAACACAAAACAAGGCAAAAUUUGAUUAUCUGAAUGAAGCCUUUCCACUUGUUGAUCUAAACCAUAAUUAAAUUGGCGAUUCAAAUCAAUGUAGCCUGGUGUUGUCUCAUCCUCAUUUCAUAUAUUUUAUUUACACAUCAUCAGUAAACUUCCUAUGACAUGUCCUGGAUUUCAGAACACAUGAGCAGCCAGUGAAUGAUAAGCAACAAAAAUGCUGCACUGCAGCUUUUACAUUUGAGUACAAAAAAUGUCAACAGAACUCAGGAAUAAGCUCCAGUAGCGGGGAAGUGGCAUCAGAGAAAUGUUUCUCUGCUUAUUGAAAUCUUAAGCUGGGGAAAAGUCAGAACCAGUAUUAGCAUUAAUUAGACUGCCAACUACCAUGCAAAUCUCCUGCAGCAAAAUGUAAAAUCCCAAAUUGGUACAAGCUUGUUAGAACAGAGCACUUUUACUGUUGGAGAAGGAACAGGGAAAAAAACAAAAGAAGAAAAAAGGAGAGCAAUUGUGGCUUUACAUCAAGUAUAUUUCAUAAUUGUAUGUUAAAAUAUGUACCCCAUCAUAAAACGCUUUAAAAAAACCAAGUAUUUUAAAAGUAUGUACAAUAAUGCAAAAAUAUGCCUAAAUAUGUAUCUAAUGCAAAAAAAUAAACCAUUUAACAAAAUCUCCCUUCAAAUGUCCCCUUGCUCUUCAACACCUUAAAAAAUCCCAAAAGAGCUUAGUCAACAAACAAGAGUUAAAACACAAACUGGGUGACAGAUGAAAGCAGUGCAAAGCAGACACUUCAGAAUGAAGAGGCAUCCACUUCAGCUUCCCAUUCCCCUGGAUUACACAACUACAGUGCCACUUGUCCUAUGCCAGUUAAAUAUUUAUCUUAUUUAAAUUUUUAUUUUAAAAAGUCAGCCUGGUGUCCAAGCUAUAAGAGGCCGCCUGUGGCGCCCAUUUUCCAUGUGAGCAAAAAAGUUAAUGAUAAUCCAACUAAGCACCCUUUAAACCCCCUUAAACAGGGGUGAAUUUCA